rnacentral:lncRNA from 1 species
GUUUGAGACUUUUUAAUAAAUGAAAAAUGUGAAGUAAAUUAAAGGAAAAGAAGUUAAAUAAUGCCAGAAAACUGAUAGGACUUGAAUUUAUAACCUUUGCUUAGAAUUAGUCUUUCCAAUUGUUGCGGUUGGAACUGCAGCCAAUUUGGGCAUAGUUUCAACUGCUACAGUUGGAUCUCCUCCUGCAGUUGCUACUCUAGCAAUUUGAGUUAAAUAUUAAACCAAAUAUCAAAUUUAUAUUUACAUACAGUAACAACUACAAGCAACCAAACGGCCCUGAGUGCAACUACUUAAACCCAAAA